AUAUUCUACUUGCUAUAAUUAAUAAAAUUUUAAUUGGAUUAUGAUCCGUUGUGGUCACAAUUUAUGACAAUUUCUGGUGCCGUGACUCGGAUAAGGAACGGUGGGCUUUGGUCCUCCGGGGAGGCGCCCCGCGACAUUUCGCGGCCCCGCGACCAACAGCUCACUCCAACCUUACCGACGAACCUAAAUUCUAGGAUAUUGAGCAAAAAAGGACCGGUAAAAUCCCAUAAAAUUCUGUGCACGGGAGUCCGGACGAAGACGCAGGACGCAAACAGCUGUCCGAACUGCGGAGCGUGGAUGGACUCAUGCCAGUCGCAUUAAAGGCCCAGUGACGAGACCCCACUGGAAAGUAAUCAGUACUCCAGGUGACACCAAGAUAACCCUGAAAAGAUAACGUAAUGAUAAAGACUUUAUUUGAUUAUUUUGCCGCAUUACCUUUCGGUAUAAAGUGUGUAUUGCUGUUUA